UAACACGUGGGCAAUCUGCCCUGCACUCUGGGACAAGCCCUGGAAACGGGGUCUAAUACCGGAUAUGAGCCUCCAUCGCAUGGUGGGGGCUGUAAAGCUCCGGCGGUGCAGGAUGAGCCCGCGGCCUAUCAGCUUGUUGGUGAGGUAACGGCUCACCAAGGCGACGACGGGUAGCCGGCCUGAGAGGGCGACCGGCCACACUGGGACUGAGACACGGCCCAGACUCCUACGGGAGGCAGCAGUGGGGAAUAUUGCACAAUGGGCGAAAGCCUGAUGCAGCGACGCCGCGUGAGGGAUGACGGCCUUCGGGUUGUAAACCUCUUUCAGCAGGGAAGAAGCGAAAGUGACGGUACCUGCAGAAGAAGCGCCGGCUAACUACGUGCCAGCAGCCGCGGUAAUACGUAGGGCGCAAGCGUUGUCCGGAAUUAUUGGGCGUAAAGAGCUCGUAGGCGGCUUGUCACGUCGGUUGUGAAAGCCCGGGGCUUAACCCCGGGUCUGCAGUCGAUACGGGCAGGCUAGAGUUCGGUAGGGGAGAUCGGAAUUCCUGGUGUAGCGGUGAAAUGCGCAGAUAUCAGGAGGAACACCGGUGGCGAAGGCGGAUCUCUGGGCCGAUACUGACGCUGAGGAGCGA
rnacentral:rRNA from 1 species